rfam:Clostridium chromiireducens strain DSM 23318 CLCHR_contig000010, whole genome shotgun sequence.
AAAAAUGCUAUGAAAAGAAGAGUAAUAAAAGAAUCAUUCUAUAAGAGAGCUAAUAUAUGCUGAAAGUUAGCGUUUGUGAAUUUUAUGAAGAUGGACUUAGAGCAUAUUUUUUGAGCUAAAGUUGUUUAGUUAGGAAAAUACGGGAGCAACCGUUAUAUUGCAGGGUGAUGAUGGUCACCUACUGAGUUAUUUAUUGUGAGAUAAAUAAGAAUUAGAGUGGUAACGCGUGUAAUACGUCUCUAUG